GACGAACGCUGGCGGCGUGCCUAAUACAUGCAAGUAGAACGCUGAAGGAGGAGCUUGCUUCUCUGGAUGAGUUGCGAACGGGUGAGUAACGCGUAGGUAACCUGCCUGGUAGCGGGGGAUAACUAUUGGAAACGAUAGCUAAUACCGCAUAAGAGUAGAUGUUGCAUGACAUUUGCUUAAAAGGUGCAAUUGCAUCACUACCAGAUGGACCUGCGUUGUAUUAGCUAGUUGGUGGGGUAACGGCUCACCAAGGCGACGAUACAUAGCCGACCUGAGAGGGUGAUCGGCCACACUGGGGCUGAGACACGGCCCAGACUCCUACGGGAGGCAGCAGUAGGGAAUCUUCGGCAAUGGACGGAAGUCUGACCGAGCAACGCCGCGUGAGUGAAGAAGGUUUUCGGAUCGUAAAGCUCUGUUGUAAGAGAAGAACGAGUGUGAGAGUGGAAAGUUCACACUGUGACGGUAUCUUACCAGAAAGGGACGGCUAACUACGUG
rnacentral:rRNA from 1 species